rnacentral:rRNA from 1 species
GACGAACGCUGGCGGCGUGCCUAAUACAUGCAAGUAGAACGCACAGUUUAUACCGUAGCUUGCUACACCAUAAACUGUGAGUUGCGAACGGGUGAGUAACGCGUAGGUAACCUGCCUGGUAGCGGGGGAUAACUAUUGGAAACGAUCGCUAAUACCGCAUAAUAUUGAUUAUUGCAUGAUAAUUGAUUGAAAGAUGCUAUUGCAUCACUACCAGAUGGACCUGCGUUGUAUUAGCUAGUAGGUGAGGUAACGGCUCACCUAGGCGACGAUACAUAGCCGACCUGGGAGGGUGAUCGGCCACACUGGGACUGAGAAACGGCCCAGACUCCUGCGGGAGGCAGCAGUAGGGAAUCUUCGGCAAUGGACGAAAGUCUGACCGAGCAACGCCGCGUGAGUGAAGAAGGUUUUCGGAUCGUAAAGCUCUGUUGUAAGAGAAGAACGGGUGUGAGAGUGGAAAGUUCACACUGUGACGGUAUCUUACCAGAAAGGGACGGCUAACUACGUG